rnacentral:rRNA from 1 species
UACAGAGGGUGCGAGCGUUAAUCGGAAUUACUGGGCGUAAAGGGUGUGUAGGUGGUUAGGUAAGUUAGAUGUGAAAUCCCCGGGCUUAACCUGGGAAUUGCGUUUAAAACUGCUUAGCUAGAGUACUGUAGAGGAUAGUGGAAUUUCCAGUGUAGCGGUGAAAUGCGUAGAUAUUGGAAGGAACACCAGUGGCGAAGGCGACUAUCUGGACAGAUACUGACACUGAGACACGAGAGCAUGGGGAGCAAACAGG